rnacentral:rRNA from 1 species
ACACGGAGGGGGCGAGCGUUAUUCGGAAUUACUGGGCGUAAAGGGUACGGAGGCGGUCUGAUAAGUGUGGAGUGAAAUGCCUCGGCUCAACCGAGGACUUGCUCUGCAUACUGUCAGGCUUGAGUACGGGAGAGGCUGGUGGAAUUCCUGGUGUAGGGGUGAAAUCCGUAGAUAUCAGGAGGAACACCGUUGGAGAAGUCGGCCAGCUGGACCGUUACUGACGCUGAGGUACGAAAGCGUGGGGAGCAAACAGGAUUAGAUACCCUAGUAGUCC